rnacentral:rRNA from 1 species
GAUGAACGCUGGCGGCGUGCCUAAUACAUGCAAGUCGAGCGAACAGACGAGGAGCUUGCUUCUCUGACGUUAGCGGCGGACGGGUGAGUAACACGUGGAUAACCUACCUAUAAGACUGGGAUAACUUCGGGAAACCGGAGCUAAUACCGGAUAAUAUAUUGAACCGCAUGGUUCAAUAGUGAAAGACGGUUUUGCUGUCACUUAUAGAUGGAUCCGCGCCGCAUUAGCUAGUUGGUAAGGUAACGGCUUACCAAGGCAACGAUGCGUAGCCGACCUGAGAGGGUGAUCGGCCACACUGGAACUGAGACACGGUCCAGACUCCUACGGGAGGCAGCAGUAGGGAAUCUUCCGCAAAGGGCGAAAGCUUGACGGAGCAACGCCGCGUGAGUGAUGAAGGUCUUCGGAUCGUAAAACUCUGUUAUUAGGGAAGAACAAAUGUGUAAGUAACUAUGCACGUCUUGACGGUACCUAAUCAGAAAGCCACGGCUAACUACGUG